UCCCCAAAUCUCCAUUCGAUUUUCCGAUCCCAAUGACGAAGGAGUUUGCCGUCCCACCGGUGGUGUUUCCCUCCGGCGGAAACCCCAGCGCCGGAUCCAACAACAACAUCCAGCAACGCCGCGUCGCCACCGCACCGUUCCAACCUCCCCGAUCCUCCACCUCCAGCAUCCCCUUCAUGUCCUUCGAUAUCGGCUCCGCCGCCGCGUCCUCCUCCUCCGGCCCCUCUUCGGCGGCCCCAUCGGCUCCGGCGCCUCGGUCCCCGGCGGCAUAAGCUUCGAGGACGAGGAGCCACUCCUCGACGAGCUCGGCAUCCAUCCAGAUCAAAUAUGGAGGAAAACCAAGUCGAUCCUCAAUCCCUUCCGGGCCAACCCGGCCGUCCACAAGGACUCGGAUCUUUCCGGCCCGAUCCUCCUCUACAUGUCCCUCUGCCUCUUCCAACUUCUCGCCGGGAAGAUCCAAUUCGGCGUGAUUCUGGGCUGGAUCGUCGUCUCCUCCAUCUUCCUCUACGUCGUCUUCAACAUGUUGGCCGGUCGGAACGGGAACCUCGACCUGCACAGGUGUACGAGCGUGGUUGGCUACUGUUUGUUACCGGUGGUGAUUUUAUCGGCAGCCUCGCUAUUCGUGCCGCAAGGCGGGACUUUCAGGUUCGUGGUGGCCGGUGUCUUUGUUCUUUGGGCCACUAGGGUUUGUACGGCCCUGAUGGUUGCUCUUGCUGAUGGUGGUGACGAGCAUCGCGGGCUCAUAGCGUAUGCGUGUUUCUUGAUUUACACUCUUUUUUCGCUUCUUGUUAUAUUUUGAAGUACUCAAAUUUGGUGCAUUGUUCAUAGUGAACGUGUUGUAGCUACGAAAGAUGAAUAUCUGAUUUUGUUGCAAAGGUAGGUAAUGGUGAUGUUACCGUUUACCUAUAAACUCAUUGAUGACGUUUAGAGUAUAUGUAUUCCUUCAUUCUUAUUGGAAAUGAUGGGAUUGGAUU